rnacentral:tRNA from 1 species
GGUGGCUUAGUGGUAGAGUACUUGCCUUGCAUGCAUGAGGCCCUGGGUUCAAUUCCUCAGCACCA